rnacentral:rRNA from 1 species
AUUGAACGCUGGCGGAAUGCUUUACACAUACAAGUCGAACGGCAGCACGGGGGCAGCCCUGGUGGCGAGUGGCGAACGGGUGAGUAAUACAUCGGAACGUGCCCGGUCGUGGGGGAUAACGUAGCGAAAGUUACGCUAAUACCACAUACGAUCUGAGGAUGAAAGCGGGGGACCUUCGGGCCUCGCGCGAUCGGAGCGGCCGAUGUCAGAUUAGGUAGUUGGUGGGGUAAAGGCCUACCAAGCCGACGAUCUGUAGCUGGUCUGAGAGGACGACCAGCCACACUGGGACUGAGACACGGCCCAGACUCCUACGGGAGGCAGCAGUGGGGAAUUUUGGACAAUGGGCGCAAGCCUGAUCCAGCCAUUCCGCGUGCAGGACGAAGGCCUUCGGGUUGUAAACUGCUUUUGUACGGAACGAAAAGGCUCUGGCUAAUACCUGGGGCUCAUGACGGUACCGUAAGAAUAAGCACCGGCUAACUACGUG